rnacentral:rRNA from 1 species
UGGGCGUAAAGGGCACGCAGGCGGUGACUUAAGUGCAGGUGUGAAAGCCCCGGGCUUAACCUGGGAAUUGCAUUUCAUACUGGGUCGCUAGAGUACUUUAGGGAGGGGUAGAAUUCCACGUGUAGCGGUGAAAUGCGUAGAGAUGUGGAGGAAUACCGAAGGCGAAGGCAGCCCCUUGGGAAUGUACUGACGCUCAUGUGCGAAAGCGUGGGGAGCAAACAGGAUUAGAUACCCUGGUAGUCCACGCUGUAAACGAUGUCGAUUUGGGGGUUGAACUUUAGGUUUGGCGCCCGUAGCUAACGUGAUAAAUCGACCGCCUGGGGAGUACGGCCGCAAGGUUAAAACUCAAAUGAAUUGACGGGGGCCCGCACAAGCGGUGGAGCAUGUGGUUUAAUUCGAUGCAACGCGAAGAACCUUACCUACUCUU